UACAUGGGGUGCAAACGUUGCUCGGAAUUAUUGGGCGUAAAGCGCACGUAGGCGGCUUUUUAAGUCGGAUGUGAAAUCCCUCGGCUUAACCGAGGAAGGGCAUCCGAAACUGGAUGGCUUGAGUACGAGAGAGGAUCGCGGAAUUCCCGGUGUAGAGGUGAAAUUCGUAGAUAUCGGGAGGAACAUCGGUGGCGAAGGCGGCGAUCUGGUUCGAUACUGACGCUGAGGUGCGAAAGCGUGGGGAGCAAAC
rnacentral:rRNA from 1 species